rnacentral:rRNA from 1 species
UGAGGAAUAUUGGUCAAUGGGCGCAAGCCUGAACCAGCCAUCCCGCGUGAAGGAAGAAUGCGCUAUGCGUUGUAAACUUCUUUUCCAGGGGAAUAAAAUUUCGUACGAGUACGGGACUGAAGGUACCUUGGGAAUAAGCAUCGGCUAACUCCGUGCCAGCAGCCGCGGUAAUACGGAGGAUGCGAGCGUUAUCCGGAUUUAUUGGGUUUAAAGGGUGCGUAGGCGUAAAAAUAAGUCAGUGGUGAAAACCUUCAGCUUAACUGGAGACUUGCCAGUGAUACUGUUAUUCGUGAGUAUAGUUAAGGUAGGCGGAAUGUGUAAGGUAGCGGUGAAAUGCUUAGAUAUUACACAGAACACCGAUUGCGAAGGCAGCUUACUGAGCUAUAACUGACGCUGAUGCACGAAAGCGUGGGGAGCGAACA